rnacentral:rRNA from 1 species
GAGUUUGAUCGUGGCUCAGAUUGAACGCUGGCGGCAUGCCUUACACAUGCAAGUCGAACGGCAGCACGGGAGCUUGCUCCUGGUGGCGAGUGGCGAACGGGUGAGUAAUGCAUCGGAACGUAUCCUGGAGUGGGGGAUAACGUAGCGAAAGUUACGCUAAUACCGCAUAUUCUGUGAGCAGGAAAGCGGGGGACCUUCGGGCCUCGCGCUCUUGGAGCGGCCGAUGUCGGAUUAGCUAGUUGGUGAGGUAAAGGCUCACCAAGGCGACGAUCCGUAGCAGGUCUGAGAGGAUGAUCUGCCACACUGGAACUGAGACGCGGUCCAGACUCCUACGGGAGGCAGCAGUGGGGAAUUUUGGACAAUGGGGGCAGCCCUGAUCCAGCCAUGCCGCGUGAGUGAAGAAGGCCUCGGUUGUAAG